AGAGGAGCACGGCCCUGUCCUCUCCAUGUGAUGGUGUGUGCUCCUCCACUGACAUCAGUGUACUCUGAAAAGGGGGAGUCAUCCGGCAAAAAUGUUACUUUGCCUGCUGUGUUCAAAUCUCCCAUUGACUUGAUAUUGUGAACUUUAUUCACACUAACUUGCACAAAAACAACAAACAGCCAUAUGCUGUAAGUGAAUUAGCGGCAUCAAACCAGCUGAAUCUUGGGGUACCGGUAGAGCCGUGGUUCAAAUUCCCAGAGUUUGAGGCAGUGAGACUUACCAUUCUGGCCAGAGUGCUUUUGUAAAUAUGUGUCGCGGGGGCCACAUGUUUGCACCAACCAAAACGUGGCACUGUUAGCACUGCAGAGUGAACACAACACAGGAGUGAUAUGCCAUCUGCUCUGCCCUGGCUGCCUCAGCCUUACCAGCGCUGGUCAUGUCUAAAAGUCACCGUAUUGAGGACGUUCCUGAAAGAACCACCAAAGAACCUCCUUUGGUGGUUGAAGAUAAAGUUGAAGGCUACAAGAAGGCUUAGGAGACUGUUUUGCUUCUUAAGAAACUUAAAGCUUGGAAUUAUAUCAAAAAGGUCUAUGCCUCUCAGUGAAUAAGAGCUGGCAAGGGCAAAAUGAGAAACCAUCAUUGUAUUCAGCACAGAGGACCCUACACCAUCUAUAAUGAGGGCAACGGAAUCAUCAAGGCCUUCAGAAACAUCCCUGGAAUUACUUUACUUAAUGUAACCAAACAGCGUUUUUUAACUUGCUCCUGGUGAGCACAUGCCAUAUUUCUGCAUUUGGACUGAAAGUGCUUUCUGCAAGUUAGAUGAUCUGUAUGGCAGAUAUGGUGUAAGCCUGCCUCCCUCAAGAGUAACUACAACCUUUCAAUGCAUAAGAUGCUUAAUACAGACCUUAGCAGAAUCUUGAAAAGCCCAGAGAUCCAAAGAGCCCUCUGAGCACCAUGCAAGAAGAUUCAUCACAGAGUCCUGAAGAACAAACCACUGAAAAAUCUGAGAAUCAUGUUGAAGUUAAACCCAUAUGCAAAGUCCAUGUGCCAGAACACCAUUCUUUGCCAGGCCAAGAAUCACAAACUCCGGAUGGAUAAGGCAAAUUAGAAGCCAAAUCAUAUGAGAAAGGGGUUCCAGGCAAGAGGCCUGUGGUAGGGAAGAAACGAAAGGAGGCUGCUGGUGUUAAGAAGCAGAAGAAACCUUUGGUGGGAAAAAAGCCUGCAGCUACCAAGAAACCAGCAGCCAAGAAGAAGACUGCAGAAAAGAAACCCACCACGGAAGAAAAGAAGCCUGCUGCGUAAAAACUUAAAUUUGUUUAUUCCAUAAAAGUCAAAUCAUUUUGGACAGCAAAUUUUGAAUAAAGACCUGAUCAAACGCAGUGAG